UGUUGGAGAGGCUACCGCCGACUGUGCGCACACAUGACCCCGACCCCUGGGAGGACCCUCCUGCUCCCAUUCUCAGUGACCCUGGGCCUGGAGCUGCUGAUCCCACGCCAGCGGGCGGUACACACAGCUUCCUGCUGAGUUGCUAUGGUUUGUGUCCCGGUACCUGUACAGGGCCAUUUUCAGCCUAAGAGGUAGGAUUUUAUGUUUGGAGAGACACCACAAGGAACGAAUUACAGAGAGUUCCAGAACUCCGGAAUGCUGUGAUUGGAACACCUUCUCCUCGUCUAUUCUCCUCACCUUCCUUUCAUUCGAGUCCGGCCCAUGUGCCAGGCACUGAGUACGGUGAUGGGGAACACAGACACAAGCUUCCCGCCCCGGAGGACCUCGGACAGAUGAGGCAGGCAGGUGUGGAAAUAAUCGCCAAGCACUGAGGUCCUACCAGGAUCUGCUAACCGUGGCCUUCAUCAAGCUAACCUCCUAAGUUACACUAAUAUGGGUUGUUUGGAAACUGCCAUCAAUGACACUGAGGCCUGACCUUAGCAGCAGUGGGGGUGCUGUCCUGCCUUUUCAUUUGAGAUAAGAAGGGCACCCGCUUUCCUCCAUGGCCCAACCUGCUGUAAGAUUGUGAGGUUCCAGAUGCUCUGUGUAAAACAAUGCCCCACAGGGGAAAGUCAAGGAGUGGAAGUGUGAGGUCCAGCUUGAGGCCACCCUAAAAAGAGCUACAAACAGCAGCUGUUUCUAUUGUGUGUGCCAAGUGCCGCC